AGCAGUAGCCGCGGGAAUACGUAGGGUGCGAGCGUUAAUCGGAAUUACUGGGCGUAAAGCGUGCGCAGGCGGUUCGUUAAGACAGAUGUGAAAUCCCCGGGCUUAACCUGGGAACUGCAUUUGUGACUGGCGGGCUAGAGUAUGGCAGAGGGGGGUAGAAUUCCACGUGUAGCAGUGAAAUGCGUAGAGAUGUGGAGGAAUACCGAUGGCGAAGGCAGCCCCCUGGGCCAAUACUGACGCUCAUGCACGAAAGCGUGGGGAGCAAACAGGAUUAGAUACCCGGGUAGUCCCUGUCUCUUAUAC
rnacentral:rRNA from 1 species